GUCCAGACUCCUACGGGAGGCAGCAGUGGGGAAUAUUGCACAAUGGGCGCAAGCCUGAUGCAGCGACGCCGCGUGCGGGAUGGAGGCCUUCGGGUUGUAAACCGCUUUUGUUCAAGGGCAAGGCACGGUCUUUGGCCGUGUUGAGUGGAUUGUUCGAAUAAGCACCGGCUAACUCCGUGCCAGCAGCCGCGGUAAUACGGGGGAUGCGAGCGUUAUCCGGAUUUAUUGGGUUUAAAGGGUGCGUAGGCGGCGCUUCAGGUCAGCGGUGAAAUACCGGGGCUCAACCCCGGGGCUGCCGUUGAAACCGGAGCGCUAGAAUUCCGAUGCCGUCGGAGGAAUGUGUGGUGUAGCGGUGAAAUGCAUAGAUAUCACACAGAACACCGAUUGCGAAGGCAUCUGACGAAUCGGAGAUUGACGCUGAUGCACGAAAGCGUGGGUAUCGAACAGGAUUAGAUACCCUUGUAA
rnacentral:rRNA from 1 species